UGAGCAAUCUGCCCUUCUCUUCGGAAUAAGCGUUGGAAACGACGUCUAAUGCCGAAAACGACCUCCUUUCGCAUGAUCGGAGGUGGAAAGCUCCGGCGGAGGAGGAUGAGCUCGCGGCCUAUCAGCUAGUUGGUGUGGGUAAUGGCCCACAAGGCGACGACGGGUAGCCGGCCUGAGAGGGUGACCGGCCACACUGGGACUGAGACACGGCCCAGACUCCGUACGGGAGCAGCAGG
rnacentral:rRNA from 1 species